rnacentral:rRNA from 1 species
CACGUAGGCGGUUUCCUAAGUCAGAGGUGAAAUCCAGUGGCUCAACCACUGGCCUGCCUUUGAAACUGGGGAACUUGAGGCCGUGAGAGGAAAGCGGAAUUCCUGGUGUAUCGGUGAAAUGAGUUGAUAUCAGGAGGAACACCGGUGGCGAAGGCGGCUUUCUGGUGCGGUUCUGACGCUGAGGUGCGAAAGCAUGGGGAGCAAACG